CGCCAACCAAUGGCAGGGCAGCACUGAUCCUGUUCCUCCAAUAAGGAGAGCGCAGGGGGACGAGGGCGGCUGCUUCCGGGAGACCGCAGGUGUGGAGGCGAGCGUCGCUCCCUAAGCCGGACGGGCUUCCCAAGGUGGCAGGAUUGCUGACAAUGUCCCAAGCUGCCCGCAAAACUUUGAAGGCCUCCUCAGCCCGGGGAUGAUGAUUUUUAUCAGGAUGAACCUACCAAGACAAAGAUUUCACCACAAAUCCAUUCCAACCCUCUCCUAUCUUGGGUCAAAAUAAACUUUUACAAAGGUUACAUCUCUCACCACUCUUGGAGAGUCAAAAUAGGUAAAUAAUUAACUGCGAGAACUGAGUUCAAGUCCUACCUCUGUCACUAAUAGCUAUGUAACCUAGAAUAUGGUAUAUAUCGUGGAUUGUUGGGAAUAUUAAGUGACAAUACAUGUGACGUAUACACCACAGAGUAUAGCACAAGAGUGAGCCACCAUCCCAGUGUGCCUGGGACUGUCCCAUUUUUAGCAGAGUUCAUGUCUCAGGAAAUUCCUCAAUCCCAGGCAAACAGGGAUGGUCAGUCCACCCUAUCUGACACAUGCAUACCAAGCCCUCACAUUUUAACUUUAUUGUCAGGCAUAAAGUAAGAGUUCUGAACAUACUACAUCCUCAAACUCAUUCUUUUCUAUCUAGAAAACUCUAAUAUGUACUCAAAACUUCCUACAAUAGUUUGCCUUUCUAUCCCAGAAAUGAAAUAGCAUAUCAUGAACCUCAACAGGUUUCUUAACCCCUUUUCAGACCCUUGUCCAAGAUAAAUGAUAUUCUCACUUCCUAUAGCUUCCUCAACCUCCUCAUUCUCAUCCUCAUUCCCUCAAAAAACAGAAAUAAAGGUGGUCUACUGACUGAUGCCAAAUAAACAGAAUAUUGUUAAAUCUCCCAUAUUCCCAAGCUUAUAGACCAGCCUUUCAGUCAGGGUCACUCUGGGGCCUCAUAAAGGAAGUGAGAGGUUCUAUAAAAGGAGACCACAGACAUUCUGGCCCAGAACAAGGGAGAACUUUCGGGCUUGGGGCAGGUGCAUUGAGGAACUAUAAACUACAUCUCUGCUCCAAGAAGUUAAAUUGAAAAUAAGAAUUUUUGUAAUAAUGAUACACGUGGAGAAUGGUAUUCCCCAAGAGAAGGUAUCUGCUAAAAGACAUGAAGGUGACAAAAAGAGCUGUCUAUUAGUAACAAUUUGAGUGUAAGCACUAAAAAACAAUUUGUUGUUUCCACAUUCUUAAGAAUAUCCCAGGCUAUUCACUUAAGCAUUUAUUUCCCAUCAAACUAAUUUGGUCCUCUGGUAAGUUACCAGCCUGGUACUUUAUUGUGCCUUGAAGGGUUAAUGGAAACCAUAGUUGCACCACUCUUUGGCAUCACCCAACUGUUGAGGUAAUGUGCACGUUGUGGUAUUUUACUAGUCUGGACCUCCAAUGCAACUUACACACAUUACUUAUAUUCAUAAUGUAAUUUUACUUGUACAGAAGGAACAGUAUCAUACGUAAAAAUUUCAACCUAGUAUCUACUUCUAGUAGCAUUUGCAUGCUUGUGUUAAACCUAUUUCCUCAGCUUAAGGUGUGUCACACCUCCCACCUGUGCCCCCCUCAUCAAUAAAAGCAACUUUAUCUUCAUGUAUGAC